rnacentral:rRNA from 1 species
CACGCAGGCGGAUAUUUAAGUCAGGGGUGAAAUCCCAGAGCUCAACUCUGGAACUGCCUUUGAUACUGGGUAUCUUGAGUAUGGAAGAGGUAAGUGGAAUUCCGAGUGUAGAGGUGAAAUUCGUAGAUAUUCGGAGGAAGACCAGUGGCGAAGGCGGCUUACUGGUCCAUUACUGACGCUGAGGUGCGAAAGCGUGGGGAGCAAACA